CGGAAGUUGGAAGAGUGGCUGCAGCAUAUACCGGUCCCGUUGAUGUUUGUGACCAGCAGCGAUGAGGACUGUGCUUAUGGUGGCUGAGAAGCCCUCUCUGGCUUAGUCCAUUGCCAAAAUCCUCUCUAAAGGUAGCUGUUCGACGCGAAAAGGCCUGAAUGGAGCGUGUUCAAGUCCAUGAGUACACAGGAAGCUUCGUGGGCCAAAAUGUGAGGUUCAAGAUGACGUCAGUGUGUGGACAUGUCAUGAGUCUGGAC